UACGUAGGUGGCGAGCGUUAUCCGGAGUGAUUGGGCGUAAAGGGUGCGUAGGCGGCCUGCUAAGUCUGGAGUGAAAGGUACCGGCUCAACCGGUACAGGCUCUGGAAACUGGCGGGCUAGAGAGCAGGAGAGGGCGGUGGAACUCCAUGUGUAGCGGUAAAAUGCGUAGAUAUAUGGAAGAACACCAGUGGCGAAGGCGGCCGCCUGGCCUGUUGACUAACGCUGAGGCACGAAAGCGUGGGGAGCAAAUAGG
rnacentral:rRNA from 1 species